CUGAGUGUAAAAACUCCAAAUCCAUGUGAACUUACCACUUGUUGCCUCGGCGCAAGCGUUCUGCCUCCUCCUCGGAGGGGCGGGAACUGCGCCGGUGGACUACUAAACUCUUGUUAAUAUUGGCAUUCUGAAUAAAAAACUUAAAUAAGUUA
rnacentral:misc_RNA from 1 species